rnacentral:rRNA from 1 species
GAUACCCUAUUAUUUUAGAUGUGAUUAUUAUUCUAUAAUUAUUAUUAGUUAAGUUCUUUAAAAUUAAACAAUUUGGCGGUAUUUUAGUCUAUUCAGAGGAACCUGUUUUUUAAUCGAUGGUCCACGAUAAUUUUUACUUUAAUUUUAAAUUUAUAUAUCGUCGUUAUUAAUAAUUUUAUGAGAAUUUUAAUUUUUGAGAUUUUUUAUUAUAAAUUAGUUCAGAUCAAGGUGUAGUUUAUGUUGAAGUUAAAAUGGGUUACAUUUCAUUUAUGAUUGGUUCUUUUUUUUAAAUUUUUAGAUAAAUUGGAUUUGAUAGUAAAUUCUUUAUUUAGUGGAGUUGAUUUAGCUCUAAAAUAUGCACAUAUCGCC